UACGGGGGGGGCAAGCGUUGUUCGGAAUUACUGGGCGUAAAGGGCUCGUAGGCGGCCAACUAAGUCGGAUGUGAAAUCCCCAGGCUUAACCUGGGAACUGCAUCCGAUACUGGAUGGCUUGAAUCCGGGAGAGGGAUGCAGAAUUCCACGUGUAGCGGUGAAAUGCGUAGAGAUGUGGAGGAACACCGAUGGCGAAGGCAGCCUCCUGGGCCAACACUGACGCUCAUGCACGAAAGCGUGGGGAGCAAACAGG
rnacentral:rRNA from 1 species